rnacentral:rRNA from 1 species
GACGAACGCUGGCGGCGUGCUUAACACAUGCAAGUCGAACGGAAAGGCCCUGCUUUUGUGGGGUGCUCGAGUGGCGAACGGGUGAGUAACACGUGAGUAACCUGCCCUUGACUUUGGGAUAACUUCAGGAAACUGGGGCUAAAACCGGAUAGGAGCUCCUGCUGCAUGGUGGGGGUUGGAAAGUUUCGGCGGUUGGGGAUGGACUCGCGGCUUAUCAGCUUGUUGGUGGGGUAGUGGCUUACCAAGGCUUUGACGGGUAGCCGGCCUGAGAGGGUGACCGGCCACAUUGGGACUGAGAUACGGCACAGACUCGUACGGGAGGCAGCAGUGGGGAAUAUUGCACAAUGGGCGGAAGCAUGAUGCAGCAACGCCGCGUGCGGGAUGACGGCCUGCGGGUUGUAAACCGCUUUCGCCUGUGACGAAGCGUGAGUGAAGGUAAUGGGUAAAGAAGCACCGGCUAACUACGUG